GGGGGAUGCCGGACAUAUCCACUACCGACCAAGCGAAUACGUCGGUAUUGGCCCUCAACAGCUCUAUUAGCUGCCGUUGCUCAGGGUCGGGUAAUUGGGAUCCGACCCAGACCACUCGUUUGGGAUUCUCCGCUAUCGGGAUGGAAACCAGCUGUUCGGUCGGUUCGCCCCGUUCUUCCUCUCCCAUUGGUUCAACUCGUCGGCCGUCAGGGAGUCCUUCGCUUCGUUACUUCGAGCAGAGAUUUGGAAGCAUCGUCGAGCGAGCUGUUGAUCCCC
rnacentral:lncRNA from 1 species